rnacentral:tRNA from 1 species
GGUCUUGUAGUUUAAUAAAAACUUUAAAUUGCAAAUUUAACAAUGAUUUAUAUCUAAGACUU